UGUGACCUGCGGAGGAUCAUUAC
rnacentral:rRNA from 1 species